rnacentral:rRNA from 1 species
AAAUUGAAGAGUUUGAUCAUGGCUCAGAUUGAACGCUGGGGGCAGGCCUAACACAUGCAAGUCGAACGGUAACAGGAAGCAGCUUGCUGCUUUGCUGACGAGUGGCGGACGGGUGAGUAAUGUCUGGGAAACUGCCUGAUGGAGGGGGAUAACUACUGGAAACGGUGGCUAAUACCGCAUAACGUCGCAAGACCAAAGAGGGGGACCUUCGGGCCUCUUGCCAUCAGAUGUGCCCAGAUGGGAUUAGCUAGUUGGUGAGGUAACGGCUCACCAAGGCGACGAUCCCUAGCUGGUCUGAGAGGAUGGCCAG